rnacentral:misc_RNA from 1 species
GGAUCAACCCCAACAAAUUUAGACCACUUUACCCAUAAAGGAGACGAUGAAAAGGACAAACAAAUUAUCAUACAAGUGCCAUUUACAAGGGGAUUGGUAUGCUAAUCUCAACACAAAAAUUGGGACACACUGGCUACUUUUCUUUUCAUCACUCCCCUACAGAGCUAAAGCUUGAGGGCCCCCCUCCCAAUAUAGCUCUCUUCAUCUACCAUCCUUUUCGGCUCGUCACUCUUACCGCAACCAUUUAAAACUCCUCCUCCCUCAGCUGAAACACAGGGAACUUCAUGUCCAUGCAUUAUCUUAUACUUCAACAUAGCUUCGUCCAUGGCUUUGACAAUC